CAACUCAUAAUUGAUUGCCACUAUCAUUUGUCGUUUUAUUAUUCUACAUGGAGUUGCUUUAUGACACAUCUUGGUAUUCUGUGGCAGAGACCACUACAGUACCAUCUUCAAGUUUCUAAGUGCAGUUGUUUUGACAUUCAUUUCCCUGUUUAUCCCAUAGUUACCAGAAUCAUGGUUCACUGGAUUCAUGGACGGGUUUGGGAUUCGCUACUUUUUAAAAGUUAGGUCCGCUAGGUACUGCAUCUCUAGCUUUCAAGUGAUGUACAAGAAACAUUAAAUUGGGAAUACAAAAACUCUGAAACCAUGUGCGGAAAACUUUAUACUGGGAAUACAAGAAACUUUGUACUUGGGAAUACAAACCUCUUGAUUUUAGCUGCUUGUGGAAAAGAAUUGCACAUAUUUGAGUAAACCCUAUGAAUAAAAUAAACUAGAUCUUUUUUGAAGUAAAAAUAAACAGGUCAGUAACACAUUGUGUCUCAUAUUGUUUAAAUAAUCAAGAACUAUGCAUACAAAAUCACCUCAUAUAUGGAUUUGCGGAAGGGCAGGGAGCUCACCUUGCCGCCCUCCUACUGCAGCCUGACAUCGCCUAUGGCCAUUCUCUAUCGUUGGACAUUACAACUAUGAACACUCCAAAUCCGAACCAUAAAAUCCUAACAGCUCUAAUCAAAUCUCCUCUUCCUCUUCUGAUGUGGCUGCAGCACCUCAGCACUGGAUAAAAAGUUGUGCUACUAAUUUAUGUUUGUGUGGAGAGAAGGAGAUUGGAGACAGCUCAAAGUCGAGACGAUUGGCGAGAGAGGUGAGCUCGUGCGUGUAAGGACGAAGGGGUGAAGAAAUCGGCUCCUCGAACGGAUAUAUAAAAGGUUGCCUGACUAAGCCACGUACAUGCACAUGUAUGUUCGCUGCAAUCAGCUGGCAGUGCUCGCACGCCCAAUAGGAAUUUUGCUACUUGUCUCUCUCCUUGUUCUACUUUUACUUCCACGAAUGCAGCUCUGUGUCUGGCAUUCCUCACUGACAGCCACCAUCUUUCACCAGUGACUAGGAAAAUGGAUAGCCUGUGUCACCCUUUCUCUCUGUUAACUUGUUUUGCCUGGGACAGUAGACCGCGUUCCCAUUCUGAUGCCAGUCGCAUCCCUCUCCAUACCCUUCAUUGACUCUCGCAUGCAUGGUGGUGCCCUCAACAACCCUCAUGUCUCAGCCUUGGAGAUGUCCGAUCUCCUUAGUCCUUUUGGGUACGUCUAGGCCCCAUGUACCACCGUUUCUGAGUGAUUCAGUUUGCGCACGAACCAUGAAUUGGGUUGCUUGAACUGAAUUACGAUUUGUGGCCCUCAGGCGGGAUUCACAAGAGAAAAGUGUGUUUCGUGAUAUUUAGUUGUAAGAUGGAAGCUAAAGCUUAAUGGUUUCUAAGGUGCUUUCAUUGAUGGCUUUAGGCUCCAUUUGGUAUUAUUCAGCCGUGUUGUGCUUCACCAUGAAGUUAUAUCAAUAGUAUGUGUGCUGUGCUGCAUAAUGGAAUAUUUGCUGCUAUAGAAACCUUUAUUCUGUUAAGGCAGCGUCAUGGCUCUGAAAACAUGCUAUAUAGUGGCUUUGAGUUUUUUUAUGAAACAGUAGGGACCUUAAGGCCAAAAAAAGUGGCUUUGGGUUGUUAUAGUGUUCAAAAGUAGUAAAAUAAAACUGUGGAUGAUAAGCCACCGCAAUACAAAACUAAGCCUAAAUAAAUGCUUCUUAACUUCUGAAGGCAAUUGUGAUUGCGUGGAAUAAUAGAUUGAUUAGAGUAUACAAUACAUGUAUAUAUAUAGGCAGCCCUUGAGAAAGGUUUAUAGAAUCACAACCAAUCAAGGGAUAUCUUGCCUAGCGUAAUCAUCUAGGCACGGCAAGGAGCCGGCCAUGGGUCUGGACUCUAGACCCAUCACGCAUACAUCACAUAUAUUCUAACAUGCCCCCGUAGUCUGAUCGUCGGCAGCCUGAACGUUCAGACUGGACCUGAACUCCGUGAAGAUAGAAGAAGGCAGGCCUUUGGUGAAGAUGUCAGCGUACUGAGAACUGGUAGGAACAUGUAGAGCGCGGACAUCACCUGUAGCAACAUGCUCCCGGACAAAGUGUAGAUCAAUCUCCACAUGUUUGGUGCGUUGAUGCUGAACGGGGUUUGAAGACAUAUAAAUUGUGCUGAUGUUGUCACAAUAAAUCAGGGCCGUGCGACGCAAAGGAACGUGCAGCUCAACAAGAAGUUGGUGCAACCAAGAAGCCUCAGCGACGGCAUUAGCCACAGCUCGAUACUCGGCCUCGGCGCUCGAGCGAGAAACAACGUUCUGACGCUUGGAGGACCAAGAGAUGAGAUUGUCGCCCAGAAAAACUGCAUAGCCUGAGGUGGAUUUGCGAGUGUCAAGACAACCAGCCCAAUUAGCAUCUGAACAAACCAGGAGAUCGGACUAAGCAGAAGGCCGUGGCAAGAGACCCAGAUGCAAUGUGCCUCGAAUGUAGCGUAGAAUCCUCUUAAGAGCAGCAAGAUGUGGCUCACGCGGGUCAUGCAUGUGAAGACAGACUUGCUGAACAGCAUAAGCAAUAUCUGGCCUGGUGAAAGUGAGAUACUGCAGAGCUCCGGCAAGGCUGCAAAAAUCCGUUGGAUCGGCCACAGGAGCACCAUCAACUGUAGACAGCUUGGGAUUGGUGUCAACUGGAGUGGAGCAAGGCUUACAAUCAGACAUACCAGCUCGAUCAAGAAUCUCCAACAUAUACUGCUUCUGAGACAGAAGAAAACCACCAGCAGAAUGCUGUACAUGCAUGCCUAGAAAAUGAUGAAGCUCACCCAGAUCCUUCAUAGAGAAUUCCCGCUGAAGAGCCUCAAUGGUGCGACGAAGCAAACUAGCUGAUGAGGCAGUAAGCACAAUAUCAUCCACAUAACAACAGGUAGACUGUGUCGCUGCCACGGUGAUAGACGAAAAGUGACGUGUCGGACUUGGCCUUCACAAACCCAAACUGCAACAAGUAGGUGGCAAAGCGACUGUACCAAGCACGAGGGGCCUGCUUGAGUCCAUAAAGAGAACGAUUAAGUCGGCACACAUAAUUGGGAUGAGCGGAGUCCUCAAAGCCUGAAGGCUGAGCGCAGUAGACCGUCUCGGACAGAGUACCAUGGAGGAAGGCGUUCUUGACAUCAAGUUGAUGAACAUGCCAGUUGCGGGAGAGCGCCAGAGAGAGCAUGGUACGUACGGUGGUUGGCUUGACGACGGGACUAAAAGUCUCAGAGAAGUCAAUGCCAGGACGCUGUGUGAAGCCGCACAACACCCAGCGCGCCUUGUAGCGCUCAAGAGAUCCAUCCGCCUUGAAUUUGUGCUUGAAAACCCAUUUACCGGUCACAAUAUUGGCCUGAGGUGGUCGAGGAACGAGAUCCCACGUUCUGUUGGCCAAGAGGGCGUCGAACUCCUCCUGCAUAGCACCUCGCCAAUUUGGAUCAGCAAGGCCACCUCGGUAGGUCCGAGGAAUGGGUGACAGCGGCGCCGUGUGGUACAACGCCGGUGGUCGAAACCCGCUCUUCCCACGCGUGACCAUGCCGUGUUGGUUGGACAUGGGAGGUACAUGAAGAGCGCCUGGUGGAAGUGGUCGAGGCACAGCCUGGACAGGAGUGCCCCGAGGGGAGGUCGUUAUGGGCCCCUGGACUGCUCGGCGACUGUAGACGUGGACGUAGUUGCGAAGAGGGCGAUGACGAGUUGGAUGCUCCUGCCGCCCGCCAACGCGGGGGGAGCAGCAGGAGCACAAGAAGCGCCGACAGGAGAGCUGUGCAAGCCAGCAGGUCUUGCAGAGGAGCCGGGGACGCCAGCAGCACCACCAGUGCUGGCUGGGGAGACGCCAGCAACACUGCCAGUGCUGGCUGCGGAAGCGCCCGCCGCACCGGUAGGAGAGCCGGCCGCCACUCCGGUCGAACGCUGUAUGGAGCGCUCAGACCAGGAAAGGGCGAGAGGUGGCAGCACAGCGUCCGGCGCCGUAGAGGAAGGACCGGAGACAGCCGCAUGUGGCUGUGCGGAAGCAGCAGCCGCACGAGGCUGUGCGGAAACGCCAGGGGGAGUACCUGUAGGUAAAAGAGCAUGUACUGGGCGAAUGGGGACCGGUACAAGGUUAGAUUCAUCCACAAGAAACUCAAAAUCCGUUGAGCUGGGCGGUACAGACUGUCGGGAGAAGGGAAACGAGGUUUCGUCAAAAACCACGUGUCGUGAUAUGAUAACCCGAUUGGACUGAAGGUCAAGGCAGCGGUACCCUUUAUGAUGUGCUGAAUAGCCAAGAAAGACGCACAAGGUGGAUCGUGGAGCGAGUUUGUGUGCGGCGGUGGAGGAAAGGUUGGGAUAACAUGCACAACUAAAAACACGUAGGUGAUCAUAAGAAGGUGCAACGCCAAAUAAUGCGAGGUGAGGCGUAGAGGAAGCAAGUGUUUUGGUUGGCAAUAGAUUCAAUAGGUGGGUAGCAGUGUGCAAACCUUCGACCCAAUAGGAGGGGGGCAUACUUGCCUGGAACAGGAGAGAGCGCACAACAUUGUUGAUGGUGCGAAUGAUGUGCUCAGCUCGACCGUUCUGAGGCGAAGUAUAUGGGCAGGACAUGCGUAGGUGUGUGCCGUGGGUGAGGAAGAACGUGCGGGUGCUGGAGUUGUCGAACUCCCGACCAUUGUCGCACUGGACGGCUUUCACGGUGGCACCAAACUGAGUACGCACAUAGGAGAAGAAGUUAGCCAAAGUAGUAAAGGUAUCAGACUUGAAGCGCAGAGGGAACGUCCAUAGGUAAUGAGAACAAUCGUCAAGUAUGAGCAAAUAAUAUUUGAAUCAUGAAACACUAGCAAUAGGAGAUGUCCACAAAUCACAGUGUAUAAUAUCAAAAUUACUGGAUGCACGAGAUGUUGACGACUGAAAUGGAAGACGAGUAUGACGCCCUAGCUGACAAGCAUGACAUAUGGAGCUAAGUUCUUUAUUACAAAAGGGAACUGCAGAUGCUACUUUGGACAAAACUUCAUGACCAGGAUGACCGAGACGCCGAUGCCAUAGAGAGUGAGUGGUGGUGGCGGCAAAGGCAUGAGCAGUAGGAAGGUGCAGGGGGUAUAGCGGCCCAGAGCUAUUGCACCUGACGAUCACUCUCCGCGACUCCAGAUCCUUCACCGAACAACCAGCAGGGUCAAAUUCAACAGAGCAAUUGUUGUCAGUAGUGAACUGGCGAACAGAUAUGAGGUUCUUAAUAAGUUUUGGUGAAACAAGAACAUUAUUAAGAGAUAGAGCACCAGAAAGGUGCUGUGCCAGUGGCAGUGACAGGAAGUAAGGACCCAUCACCGACAAUAAUAGAAGAAGGAAAAGGGUACCGCGGACCAG